rnacentral:rRNA from 1 species
AUUGAACGCUGGCGGCAUGCCUUACACAUGCAAGUCGAACGGCAGCACGGGUGCUUGCACCUGGUGGCGAGUGGCGAACGGGUGAGUAAUACAUCGGAACAUGUCCCGUAGUGGGGGAUAGCCCGGCGAAAGCCGGAUUAAUACCGCAUACGAUCUACGGAUGAAAGCGGGGGACCUUCGGGCCUCGCGCUUUAGGGUUGGCCGAUGGCUGAUUAGCUCGUUGGUGGGGUAAAGGCCUACCAAGGCGACGAUCAGUAGCUGGUCUGAGAGGACGAGCAGCCACACUGGGACUGAGACACGGCCCAGACUCCUACGGGAGGCAGCAGUGGGGAAUUUUGGACAAUGGACGAAAGCCUGAUCCAGCAAUGCCGCGUGUGUGAAGAAGGCCUUCGGGUUGUAAAGCACUUUUGUCCGGAAAGAAAUCCUUGGCCCUAAUACGGUCGGGGGAUGACGGUACCGGAAGAAUAAGCACCGGCUAACUACGUG